UACGGAGGGUGCAAGCGUUAAUCGGAAUUAUUGGGCGUAAAGCGCACGCAGGCGGUGUGUCAAGUCCGAUGUGAAAUCCCCCGGCUCAACUUGGGAACUGCAUCUGAUACUGGCAAGCUUGAGUCUCGUAGGGGGGGGUAGAAUUCCAGGUGUAGCGGUGAAAUGCGUAGAGAUCUGGAGGAAUACCGGUGGCGAAGGCGGCCCCCUGGACGAAGACUGACGCUCAGGUGCGAAAGCGAGGGGAGCAAACAGG
rnacentral:rRNA from 1 species